rnacentral:sRNA from 1 species
AUUUAGUUUAUGAUUUUUUACUGUAUCAAAUAUGUGUGCAAUUUUUCAGGAAAUUUUGUGCAUUUAUUAUGAAAACUUUAAGCAUUUUUCUAGUUAUUUGUCUUUAUCUCAUAGUCCAAAUACAUAUCACCAAAUCAGAUGACUUUAAAAUUAUUAGCAACUUAAUGUUUGGAGGAUGAACAUGCAGAAAGUCAUAUGGCUUGAUUCGGUUGGUAAGAUAACUCUUUAUCUACAUUACUUUGGGACUGUUGAUUUUUUCUUUUUUGUUGCAGCCUAUUUGGUGCUAAAGCUUGUAGCCAUGUUUGACUUUGUAUUCUCCAUUUUGAGUAUAGAUUCGAGGAAAUUAAAUCUGACAUUUUUGUAAGGCUAAGACGAAUAGACAAAAUCUUCUUGGUCAAUUGGGUGUUUUAGCUUUGUAUGAUCUUGGACAUGAGAUCAUGUCAUAAUUCUUUUUAGUAGGCCAUUUUUAGGAACUCCUUUUCUUUUAACCAUUAGACCAAUUUUGUUGAGGAUUGAGAUAGUCCUGGAUUAGUUAUGCAUGUGAUCCUGAAAAGAAAAUAAGGCUGCAAAUGGUUGCACGUUUAGAUAAACAAAAUUGGAUGGAAAGUAGAUUCAUUCCAAUUUUUACCAUUUGAGUUGAAAGUGUAAAAUUUAUUAUUCAUCUCAUUUAUCUCGUUCAUCUCUUUUCAUCUUUAAAGAGAUGAACAAAGACUGCAAAUGGUUAUCACUAAAAACAAAUUGGAGGAACAAAGACCGCAAAUGAUUUUCACUAAAAACAUAUUAUUCAUCUCCAAUUUAUUAAUCUCUAUUUUAGUGGAUGAAAAGAUUCUUAAAUUUCUCUUCUUUGUUCAUCUAACUAACGUAAAAUAUAAAUGAAUGAGAUGAAUAAUUUUCUUACAUUUUCAUCCUAAUUGAUGAAAUUUGAAAGAACUAUUGUUUUCAUCUCAAAUUAUUCAUCUCAUAGUGUAAUCAUUGAAAUCGACACAUGAUGCGUGUUUAAUUUCAUCUCAGGCUUUUACCGGAAAGACCACACGACUACUGCAGGUGCACAACAAAUUGGAGUAGUAUUUAAGGAUUGAAUCCACAAGGAGUGUAGUUACAAGGAAGAACUCAAGUUAAAUAACCUGGACCAAGAAAAACGAAAGAGUAGGGUUUUGUGUAUGCAGUGAAAAUAAGUGAAAAGUGCAAUAAAAAUAAGAAAGCAAUAAAAGGAAACUAUAAAAAGGCAACAAAGUAAAAGACAAUGAAGAGAGCAGUAUAAAAUAAGUAAACGAAAGCGUUAGGUCAUCGGGGGUUUUCUUCAGGCAACAUGGUUCAAAUAAAAGGUAUAGAUCCCAAUUCAAGUGAUAACAUUGUUAGGUUUGUUUACUUCCAAAUUCUCGGACAUACAAAACUCAUUCAAGUUCAGCUAACCCUAACGGUUAGUAGGCGGAAGCCAUCUAAUCUCCAUGUACCUCACUACUCAGUUGCCUCACGGCUAAGAGAGCAAAUAUGGUAACGACAUAUAGAUCAAAGCAUUAAGUUAAAGUUCAAUUCUAGUCCAUAAAGCCCAAUAACUCGGCGGCCAGCAACGGUUAUAACACAAUAUUUAUUCGUGAGUUAGUUCAAGCAAUUAUACGAGAUUUUGCCAAGUAUGAAAUACCUAAGAUCAGGUACUAGGUGACGUGCCGGACAUACAUGCAUUAAGAUCAAACCCAACUAGAAAGAGCAGUGUAAACGAUCAAACUAAACCAUAAAAACCGCCAACCUAAAUUUGAUCUAAAGUUCCCAUGCCAUGAAUGCCCUUCGAAACCCCCUAAAACCUAACUACAAUUCUACUCACACAUACUCAAAGAACACAACAUCAUAUGAAUAAGAAAUUGCAUAAAAAGAGUAAAUGUAUAGAAAAGGGUUUAGAGAUCUUCUCUUGAUAUCCAAAGCUAAUGAAUCUUCUUCCUUUUACAAGUAGAGAAUAGAGAAUAGAUCAGAAGAAAAGAGAAAACAAAUGAAGAACAAGAGGACGGCUCAGCGGCAAGAGAGGCAGCCUAAUUUGCUGGGUGUCCUCUUUGGUUUCCCCUAAUCUUAGGAUAUAUAGGUUUCAUUAGGUUAAAGGUAGAAACGUCUUUCGGUUGAUUAGUAAGUGAUGGGCCAAGUUCUUGGGCUUCUUGGGAAGGCUUGAAGUCAGCGGCAUGAGGAAGAGAAGGACUUGUUGUGUGAAUUUACUAGAAUGAAUUUUUAU